GCAGUCGAGCGAACGGACGAGAAGCUUGCUUCUCUGAUGUUAGCGGCGGACGGGUGAGUAACACGUGGAUAACCUACCUAUAAGACUGGGAUAACUUCGGGAAACCGGAGCUAAUACCGGAUAAUAUUUUGAACCGCAUGGUUCAAAAGUGAAAGACGGUCUUGCUGUCACUUAUAGAUGGAUCCGCGCUGCAUUAGCUAGUUGGUAAGGUAACGGCUUACCAAGGCAACGAUGCAUAGCCGACCUGAGAGGGUGAUCGGCCACACUGGAACUGAGACACGGUCCAGACUCCUACGGGAGGCAGCAGUAGGGAAUCUUCCGCAAUGGGCGAAAGCCUGACGGAGCAACGCCGCGUGAGUGAUGAAGGUCUUCGGAUCGUAAAACUCUGUUAUUAGGGAAGAACAUAUGUGUAAGUAACUGUGCACAUCUUGACGGUACCUAAUCAGAAAGCCACGGCUAACUACGUGCCAGCAGCCGCGGUAAUACGUAGGUGGCAAGCGUUAUCCGGAAUUAUUGGGCGUAAAGCGCGCGUAGGCGGUUUUUUAAGUCUGAUGUGAAAGCCCACGGCUCAACCGUGGAGGGUCAUUGGAAACUGGAAAACUUGAGUGCAGAAGAGGAAAGUGGAAUUCCAUGUGUAGCGGUGAAAUGCGCAGAGAUAUGGAGGAACACCAGUGGCGAAGGCGACUUUCUGGUCUGUAACUGACGCUGAUGUGCGAAAGCGUGGGGAUCAAACAGGAUUAGAUACCCUGGUAGUCCACGCC
rnacentral:rRNA from 1 species